GGUCACUGCUAUUGGGGUUCGGCUAAGCCAUGCGAGCGGAGGGCGCGGUCGCAAGAUCGUGGCCCCGCACACGGCUCAGUAACACGUAGUCAACCUACCCUUGGGACGGGGACAACGCCGGGAAACUGGCGAUAAUCCCCGAUAGGUGAGGGAUGCUGGGAUGCUUCUUCGCUCAAAGCUCCGGCGCCCGAGGAUGGGACUGCGGCCUAUCAGGCUGUUGGUGGUGUGACGGACCACCAAACCUACGACGGGUACGGGCGAUGGGAGUCGGAGCCUGGAGAUGGGGACUGAGACAAGGCCCCAGGCCCUACGGGGCGCAGCAGGCGCGAAAACUCCGCAAUGCGCGCAAGCGUGACGGGGGAACCCCAAGUGCCGUUGGCUUUUGAUCGACGGCUUUUCGGAAGUCCAAUAAGCUUCCGGAAUAAGGGCUGGGUAAGACUGGUGCCAGCCGCCGCGGUAACACCAGCAGCCCUAGUGGUGGCCGCGAUAUUGGGCCUAAAGCGCUCGUAGCCGGAUCAGCAAGUCCUUUGUGAAAUCGGACCGCCCAACGGUUCGGCGUGCAAAGGAUACUGUUGGUCUUGAGACCGGGAGAGGUCGGAGGUACUCUUGGGGUAGCGGUGAAAUGCUGUAAUCCUGGGGGGACCACCAGUGGCGAAGGCGUCCGACCAGAACGGAUCUGACGGUGAGGGGCGAAGGCUAGGGGAGCGAACGGGAUUAGAUACCCCGGUAGUCCUAGCUGUAAAGCAUGCGGGCCAGGUGUCUAGCGCUCCUUGAGGGCGCUAUGUGCCGGAGGGAAGCCGUUAGCCCGCCGCCUGGGAAGUACGGCCGCAAGGCUGAAACUUAAAGAAAUUGGCGGGGGAGCACCACAAGGGGUGGAACCUGCGGUUCA
rnacentral:rRNA from 1 species